GACGAACGCUGGCGGCGUGCCUAAUACAUGCAAGUCGAACGCAGUGGGGACGGGUGCGUAACACGUGGGUGACCGCCCAUCAGAGGGGGUAAAACUUGGAAACAGGUGCUAAACCGAUACUGGAGGAGGGACCCGCGGGGCAUUAGCUAGUUGGUGAGGUAACGGCUCACCAAGGCCACGAUGCAGAGCCGACCUGAGAGGGUGAUCGGCCACACUGGGACUGAGACACGGCCCAGACUCCUACGGGAGGCAGCAGUGGGGAAUCUUCGGCAAUGGGCGAAAGUCUGACCGAGCAACGCCGCGUGAGUGAAGAAGGUUUUCGGAUCGUAAAACUCUUUUGUUAGAGAAGCGGUAUCUAACCAGAAAGCCCCGGCUAACUACGUGCCAGCAGCCGCGGUAAUUC
rnacentral:rRNA from 1 species